GCGAGAGUGGCGGAAUUGGUAGACGCACCAGAUUUAGGAUCUGACGGGAAACCGUGGGGGUUCGAGUCCCCCCUUUCGCACCA
rnacentral:tRNA from 1 species